CCACCGCUAUCAAGUUCCGACUAAGCCAUGCGAGUCAAGGUAUCGUAAGAUGCCGGCAAACUGCUCAGUAACACGUGGAUAAUCUAACCUUGAGUAAGGGAUAACCUCGGGAAACUGAGGAUAAUACCUUAUAAUUGCUUAAAACUGGAAUGUUUAAGCAAUAAAAGUUCCGACGCUCAAGGAUGAGUCUGCGACCUAUCAGGUAGUAGGUGGUGUAAUGGACCACCUAGCCUCAGACGGGUACGGGCCCUGGGAGGGGUAGCCCGGAGAUGGACUCUGAGACAUCAGUCCAGGCCCUACGGGGCGCAGCAGGCGCGAACACUGUGCAAUGCGCGAAAGCGCGACACGGGGAGCUUGAGUGUCUUGGCAUAGCCAAGACUUUUCUCAUUCCUAAAAAGCAUGAGGAAUAAGUGCUGGGUAAGACGGGUGCCAGCCGCCGCGGUAACACCCGCAGCACAAGUGGUGGUCACUUUUAUUGAGCCUAAAGCGUUCGUAGCCGGUUUUGUAAAUCUUU
rnacentral:rRNA from 1 species